rnacentral:rRNA from 1 species
GAGUUGUAUUUAUUAGAUGGAAACCAACUGCUUCGGCAUGAUGUGGUGAUUCAAGCCUGGGGGGCGAUUGCGUGGCUUUGCCGGCGAUGGAUCCUUUACGUUUCUUCCCUAUCUUCUUUGACGGAACUGUAUUGGAGUACCUUGGCAGUAACGGGGAACGGAAAAUUAGGGUUUGACGCCGGAGAGGGAGCCUGAGAGACGGCUACCACAUCCAAGGAAGGCAGCACGCGCGUAAAUUACCCAAUCUUGACACAAGGAGGUAGUGACAAUAAAUAACAAUGCCGGGCCUUUGUAGGUCUGGCAAUUGGAAUGAGAACAAUUUAAACCCCUUAUCGAGGAUCAAUUGGAGGGCAAGUCUGGUGCCAGCAGCCGCGGUAAUUCCAGCUCCAAUAGCGUAUAUUAAAGUUGUUGCAGUUAAAAAGCUCGUAGUUAGAUUUGUGGCGUGUGCCGUGGCGUCCAUUUAUUUGGUUCUGCCGUGGCCGUGCCAUCCUUGUGUGGAUCCAGUGUGGCAUUAGGUUGUCGUGCUGGCUAUGCACAUCGUUUACUGUGAAAAAAUUAGAGUGUUCAAAGCAGGCU